AUACCAAGGCCAAGAAAGAAGGGGUGUGUUCAGGAGUCCCAGCAACGCACAAGACUAGGAGCAGGACAGCCUCCUCGGAUCCCACUUCUUGGGUUGUUUUCCAGAGUGGCUGCACCCCUUCCAUCCCCACCUGCAGUAGAUGAGGGUUCUCAUUUCUCCAUGUCCGGACCAACACCUGCUGUCUUCUGGAAUCUAGCCAGCCUGCUUAGGAUGAAGCAACCUCAAGUGGUUUGGAUUUGCAUGACUGAGCUUCAGGCUUUCUAUUAUUUAAAAACAAAAUCCUGCAAGGCCCUAUACAGAUGGGAAUUUGUGUGUAUGGCCGCACAAGGGGUCCAACUGGAGCUCCAGCUGCCAGCCGCAGCUACAGCCACAGCAAUGAUCCUAGGCUUGUCUGCAACCUACACCACAGCUCACUGCACCACCAGAUCCUUAACCCACUGAUCAACGCCAGGCAUCAAACCCGAAACCUCAUGGUUCCUAGUCGGAUUUGUUUCCACUGCACCACGACGGCAACUCCUGAAUUUGUUUCUGAUGAAGCUUUUGUUCCCAAUACAGGGCUUUAUAUAUAUAUAGUCAAUUUAUCAAGCUAGGUUUUUUGGUAAUACUUAUAGGGAAAUUCCUCAUUUUUGUAUUUUCUUUCUUUUUAUUUUUAUUAUAGUUGACUUAUAAUGUUUUGCCAAUUUUUCCUUUAUAGCAAAGUGAAUUAGUCUCUACAUAUACAUUCUUUUUUACAUUAUUUUCUAUCUAUCCCAAGAGAUUGGAUAAAGUUCCCCGUGCUAUACAGCAGGACCUCAUUGCUUAUCCAUUCUAAAUGGAAUAGUUUGCAUCUACUAACCCCAAACCCCCCGUCCAUCCCACUCCCUCCCCAUCCCCCUUGGCAACCACAAGUCUGUUCUCUAGGUCUGUGAGUCUGCUUCUGUUCUGUAGAUAGGUUGUUUGUGCCAUAUUUUAGAUUCCGCAUAGAAGUGAUAUCAUAUGGUAUUUGUCUUUCUCUUUCUGAAUUACUUCACUUGUAUGAGAAUCUCUAGUUGCAUCCAUGUUGCUGCAAAUGGCAUUAUUUCAUUAUUUUUUUGUGCCUGCAUAGCAUUCCAUUGUGUAUAUAUACCACAUCUUAAUCCAUUCAUCUGUUGAUGGAUAUUUAGGUUGUUUCCAUGUCUUGGCUAUUGUGAUAAACAUAGGGGUGCGUGCAAUAAACAUAGGGGUGCGUGUGUCUUUUUGAAUUAUAGUUGUGUUCAUAUAUAUUUGCCUAGGAGUGCAACUGCUGGAUCAUAUGGUAAUUCCAUUUUUAGUUUUCAGAGGAACCUCCAUACGUUUUUCCGUUUUUCUGUAGUGGUUGUACUAUAUUUUCUUUUAGUGUUUUCAUUGUUUCCUUUUUGUAUAUAUAGUUUGAGCUGUUGAAAAAAUGUUCUGCAACUUAUUUUUUCCAAAUACCAUGCAGUGAUUUCCACGGUCCUUACUCAAUAAUUAACAUUUUCCUCUCUAAUCUAAAAUAUCAUCCUUAAAUUCUUAUAUCAGUUUGGUCUACAUAUGAGGCUUUUUCCAGUUUUCUGACUUUCUAACACCAGCAUAACACUGAUCGAAUUAUCAUCAUUUUAUUUAAAAAUUCUUCUUCAGAAAGCUUGUUCAUUCCUCCCUUCAAAGAAAGUGCUGUUAGGUUUUUAUUUUGAUGACGUUAAAUGUGUAGGUUGACUAAGGGGCAGCUGACAGCUCUGUAAAGCUGCAUUCUGUCUCUGCAGAGAGCAGUCUUUUCCGUUUAAGGAGCCGUCACAGUCGCUCCUUGUUUAGCAUUUUCUCCACCGUGACCGUCACCAUUUGUUAGUAUGUCUAUCCCCACUUACGUCAUGUGUUUGUUGAUGUCAUAAAUGGCUUUUUCCUUCCGUUAUAAACUCCCUCUGCUGUGUUUAAGGCGACAAUUGAUGCCUGUAUGUUAUCAGUUCUAUUCUGACGCUUUCUAGUUUCUCGUACUGUGUAUACUUGCUUUUCCAGUAUUUCCUCUUGGUUUUCCACUUUUUUCACAAUAAAAAUGUUACUUCAUCCACCCCUUAUUUCUUUCUCCCUUCUAAUUGCAUUGACCAUUAGCUCCAGAUUAAAAUAAGUAAGAGCAG
rnacentral:lncRNA from 1 species